rnacentral:lncRNA from 1 species
AUUAUGUAUAUUUUUUUAGAGUUCCAGUGGUAAAUCUCUUCUCAGAUUUUAACAUUUAUGAAGAAUACACUGUAUUUUAUUAAUUCUUAUACGUAUUUUUUCACAUUUAACAUAUCUAAGGGCCAUGUCUUCAAACUAAUGAUACCUCAUAGUUUUAUUGGCAGUGGGUUUUUUUUUUGUUGUUGUUGUUGUUUUGGGUUUUUUUUUUUUUGAGACAGGGUUUCUCUGUAUAGCCCUGGCUGUCCUGGAACUCACUUUGUAGACCAGGCUGGCCUCGAACUCAGAAAUCUGCCUGCCUCUGCCUCCCGAGUGCUGGGAUUAAAGGUGUGCGCCACCACACCCAGCACCGGCAGUGUUUUUAACUACUGCUGUGCAUAAUCUAAUAGUGAAUCUUAAAAUACACCUUCAGUUCAGUGAAAUGAAAUAUUUUGGGAAGAGAUAAAUAAUAUGAAACGGGCAGUGGGAACAAUAACUCUGAGAACCUUCCCGCCUCUUCCCUCCUUACUGGCCAUGAUCAUUAAUUCACUAGGGUUUUCAUUCAACCGUCCUCCAGGAAGGUGCUCUUCAGUCCUUUUCCUAAUACACUGACAGGCAUGGGAAUUUAAAAAAAAUACUCAAGUAUAUACACGUCUUACACACAUAAUUAAAAAAAUACAAAUAAUAUCAAAAUAAAUGUUAUCCUAUUAGGACACCUAAAAAAAUAUACCACAGAUAUUUUGUAUGCCAGUUGGCUCUUUGUUGUAACCUGGGUGACAUACUGGCUGUAGUGUGGUUGUGUCAUGGUGGAAAAUCCAGUUCUUUUUGUUACUAUCAUAAAGCACCGUUUAUGGAAUGAAGAGUUUAUCUUGGCUUACAGUUCCAGAGGGAGCGUCCACAGCCAGGGAGCUGGAGGCAGAGGUCAGAUGAGGAAGCUGAGAGAUCACAUUUCUAUCUGUACACAGGAAACAGAGAGAACAAGCUGGAAGCAGGAGGAGGCUGUGAAUUUUCCAAGCCUGCUCCCACCACCCCUUCCCCAGUGGUGUACUUCCUAGAGGUUCCCUAACCUUCCCAUACAGUGCUGCAAACCAGGGACCAAGUAUUCAACCAUGGGGGCCUAUGGGGGACGCUUCUUAUCCAAAUUCCUACAACCACUGAUGAAGAUUUAGAAGAGUUUUCAUUCAACCACUCUGCAGAGUUUUAACAACUUUUUCUGUGAAUAUUUAUGUAUACAGGGAAACAUUUCUCCAAAGCAUUUAUAUAGAUAGAGUUGCUAGAUAAAAUGAUUAGCAAAAUUUAAGAUUUAUUUAUAUUUGUGAGUAUUAUAAAAUGGUCUUAUAUUUAAAUAAAUUCUUUACUGCUUGAGAGAAACACUGAAUUAGCUCAAAGCAUUCAGUCUAAAAUAUAAAACUGUGAGACAUUUCUUGACUACAGAAAGCAGCUUUUCCUGGGCUUUGUUUCUGAGAGCAUAGGAAGGAUUCCCCUACUCUACUGUAAUAAUUUGUUGCUAGUUUUUCAACAAAAAUUGUAAAAAAUGCACCAACCCUCAGCUUCAUCUUUGUAGUUAAAAAAUCCCAAGACCCAGAGAGGCUAGACACCUUUCUCAGAACGGCAUGAUAUAUGUUUCAACUGUAGCUAGAAUUUUCCUUGCGUAUCUUUCUAGGGCAAUAUUCGUUUAUGCGAUGCCAAAUUCUGAGGGCCAGUAAUAUUUAAACACCCAGACAACUCCCCAAAGGUGGCUGCAUCAUAUAUUUAUAUGAUGUUUGACAGCGGAUUUCCUGAACAGGGAACAUAUUGCUCUCAGACACAAUAUUAGACCUUUAUUUGCUUAGAGAUCAAAUUUGCUACCCAGUGUCUUUCAAGGUUUUUUUUGUUUUUUUUUUUUUUUUUUGUGAUGUUGGUCUGUAAAGAAGUUUGAAGUACCGAGGUGAUGAUGGAUUAAAAUGAUAAUAUCUCCAUAAAACAUAAGUGAAAUAAAAUCUCCGUGCUGGAGAACAUUGGAAAGAGGUUUGGGGGCUUAGGGAAAUACUCAAGUUCUUAUAAUUUGUGUGCAGGUCGAGUUGAGAGUUGUAAGUUGGUACUACAGUUGGCCUUAGCUGAGAGGAUUCAAGAUCUAUUUUGUUCUCUGUCUUUAUCAUUUGCAAUUCAUGUCCGUGAGCUCCAAUUCAAGAAAACACUUGCAUGAUUCAGUAGCAAUAUUUUUAAAAGGCAAGUGGACAUUGAUAUUUGUCAAAGGCACAGGGAAUUUCAAAUUCGGUGACUCUAC